rnacentral:rRNA from 1 species
CAGCCGCCGCGGGAACACGUAGGGUCCGAGCGUUGUCCGGAAUUAUUGGGCGUAAAGGGCUCGUAGGCGGUUUGUCGCGUCGGGAGUGAAAACCAGCAGCUUAACUGCUGGCCUGCUUUCGAUACGGGCAGACUUGAGGCAUUCAGGGGAGAACGGAAUUCCUGGUGUAGCGGUGAAAUGCGCAGAUAUCAGGAGGAACACCGGUGGCGAAGGCGGUUCUCUGGGAAUGUUCUGACGCUGAGGAGCGAAAGUGUGGGGAGCGAACAGGAUUAGAUACCCCCGUAGUCCCUGUCUCUUAUAC